rnacentral:tRNA from 1 species
AUUUAUAUAAUUUAAAAUAAAAUAUUAUAUUUUCAAUAUAAAAAUAAUAAUUAAUAUUUAUAAAUA